CUAAUGAGCCUGAGCAGAGGUGAGCCGUGUGAUGGUGGUCCAUAGACAGCAAGAAAACUUGACCAAACGUGGCCAAAGUUGUGUUUGGACAUUUUCUGGACAGAAGCGGGAGCUGACGAACAUUUUGCCUGAGCAGGGAUGGAUUUCAUGCAGUGCAGAUUUUGCAAAUUCACAAGCUCCAGUCAAGAGACUCUUCUGAAACAUUUUCGCCUUCAUCACAGACAAGGUGCACAUUGGCCUUGCAUUCACACAGACUGUGUAUGUGUAUUUAAAACACCUGGAGCAUUACGAUCCCACCUCUCAAGAUCACACUCAAUAGUUAAAAUCCACAAAAAUUCAACAUUUCAAUGUGAAUUGUGUGAUUUUAAGGAGAUCUGCAGUGAAAAAACUUUUUGGAACCAUCUUGGACAUCAUUUAAAGAACCGAGAAUCUGUACAAUGUCCCUUUCUAAGGUGUACCUUUAAAACAAACAUUCGCCCUACCUGAUGUAAUCAUUUGCCAGUUACCAAGAGUUGCAUAUUUAGUGUAAUACUUUUGUUAUUUACCAGUAAAAUAUAUCUGACAUGUGUUUUUGUUGACAAAUAUUAACAGAAGGAAUAUGUAUAAGUCCUCUGUCCUACUGAAUGUUGAAGUGUGUUUGCUGGUUAAUCAUGUUUAAUUCUUUUUGAAGGAUAGGUGAUUUAGUCAUGUUGUAUCUUUUCAUGUGGACAAAAUCCCACUUUUAAGCCAUGGUGAAAUUCUGGGAAAGGUAAAACAAGAAUGUGAAACAUUAAAAGCAAUAGUUUAGUUUAAUUAAGUCUUGUGAGGUUAAACUCAUAAUGUCAAAGGAGAAGUGAACUCUGUCAUCCCGCCCCUGGGUGUGUCUGCUGCAGGUCAUAAAAGAAGAGAUACAUGCUCUCUUCCUUGUUUUUUUUCUCCUCUUUUCUUCACUUUACUCUCUACUCCUAUCACUCCUCUAUGUCUCCUCUUCUUCACAAUCUCUCUUAUUUUAUUUUAAAAGUAUAAUCUUUAUUUUUAUUUUUGCAACAAGCUCUAAGACAAGCAAAUUGAAUCACUACUUUAAGUGCUUCACUACUUAUCUUUAACAGAAUGAAGUUCUUUCUUUUUGAUUUUUAAUAUAUCGUUAAAGCAUCACUGCCUGAUCCAGAAGAAGUUGAAUUAGUUUUAGAACUCAGAACUUAAGAACCACCAUUAGACACCACAAAGAAAAAGUCUUUAUCCUCAUUUGAUGAAGAACAUUGCAGUCUGUGUCUGCUUCAGUGGUCUCGAACUAAAAAAGAGACUUAGUGUGCUCCAAAAUGAGACUGACAUCCCGCUGGGCCUUUGGACGGAUUGUGCAACAGAGUACCGGCCUUCCCUCUGGCUAUUGGACUGACAUGGCAAGCCCGCAGUCCAACCCAGAACACUCAAGGAAACCAAACUUGAGGUCCUUUUGACUCCCACACAAAGCAGGCUGAAAUUCUGGAUCCACACACAUGAGAAUGAGUUGGUGUCUAAAGUUCUGACUUCUAUCUUAUAAACUUAAGAGAAUUGAGAUUAGGGUCUCCUUAGUAUUAAAAACUACUCCCAUAAUAUUUAAUGCAUAAAAGCCGACUCAUAAUUUCAUCAUCAGCCUACUAACACAUAAUCUUAUUACUUUACUUAUUAUAGUCUUUACAUUUUCUGUCAUUUGUUGUUGUUCAUUUAAAUUGGCAGUUCAUUUAUUUUACCCUGAAUUAGUUAGUUAAUAAACAUAUAUAACCGUC